ensembl:rRNA 5S_rRNA 5S ribosomal RNA
UCCGGCAGCUAGCUCUCUGCAAUUCUCACAUGGUCGCCCACUGAAGCUAAGCAGGAAUGCGCCCGUUCAGUACCUGGAUGGUAGACCACAUGGGAAGGCUAGGUUGCUGCCCGAA